UAGUGAACCAGUACCGUGAGGGAAAGGUGAAAAGCACCCCGGGAGGGGAGUGAAAUAGAACCUGAAACCGUGUGCCUACAACAAGUUCGAGCCCGUUAAUGGGUGAGAGCGUGCCUUUUGUAGAAUGAACCGGCGAGUUACGUUAUGAUGCGAGGUUAAGUUGAAGAGACGGAGCCGUAGGGAAACCGAGUCUGAAUAGGGCGCUUUAGUAUCAUGAUGUAGACCCGAAACCAUGUGACCUACCCAUGAGCAGGUUGAAGGUGCGGUAAAACGCACUGGAGGACCGAACCAGGGCACGUUGAAAAGUGCUUGGAUGACUUGUGGGUAGCGGAGAAAUUCCAAACGAACUUGGAGAUAGCUGGUUCUCUCCGAAAUAGCUUUAGGGCUAGCGUCGACAUGAAGAUUCUUGGAGGUAGAGCACUGUUUGGGUGAGGGGUCCAUCCCGGAUUACCAAUCUCAGAUAAACUCCGAAUGCCAAUGAAUUAUGGUCGGCAGUCAGACUGCGAGUGCUAAGAUCCGUAGUCGAAAGGGAAACAGCCCAGACCACCAGCUAAGGUCCCAAAAUAAUUGUUAAGUGGAAAAGGAUGUGGGGUUGCACAGACAACUAGGAUGUUAGCUUAGAAGCAGCUAUUCAUUCAAAGAGUGCGUAAUAGCUCACUAGUCGAGUGACCCUGCGCCGAAAAUGUACCGGGGCUAAAACAAUUUACCGAAGCUGUGGAUACCUUUAUAGGUAUGGUAGGAGAGCGUUCUAUGUGUGAAGAAGGUAUACCGUGAGGAGUGCUGGAACGCAUAGAAGUGAGAAUGCCGGUAUGAGUAGCGAAAGACAGGUGAGAAUCCUGUCCACCGUAAGACUAAGGUUUCCAGGGGAAGGCUCGUCCGCCCUGGGUUAGUCGGGACCUAAGGAGAGACCGAAAGGUGUAUCCGAUGGACAACAGGUUGAUAUUCCUGUACUAGAGUAUGUAGUGAUGGAGGGACGCAGUAGGCUAACUAAAGCAGACGAAUGGAAGAGUCUGUCUAAGCAGUGAGGUGUGAAUUGAGUCAAAUGCUUAAUUCUAUAACAUUGAGCUGUGAUGGGGAGCGAAGUUUAGUAGCGAAGUUAGUGACGUCACACUGCCAAGAAAAGCUUCUAGCGUUUAAACAUACUCUACCCGUACCGCAAACCGACACAGGUAGUCGAGGCGAGUAGCCUCAGGUGAGCGAGAGAACUCUCGUUAAGGAACUCGGCAAAAUGACCCCGUAACUUCGGGAGAAGGGGUGCUGACUUUACGUCAGCCGCAGUGAAUAGGCCCAAGCAACUGUUUAUCAAAAACACAGCUCUCUGCUAAAUCGUAAGAUGAUGUAUAGGGGGUGACGCCUGCCCGGUGCUGGAAGGUUAAGAGGAGUGCUUAGGAGUAAUCCGAAGGUAUGAAUUGAAGCCCCAGUAAACGGCGGCCGUAACUAUAACGGUCCUAAGGUAGCGAAAUUCCUUGUCGGGUAAGUUCCGACCCGCACGAAAGGCGUAAUGAUUUGGGCACUGUCUCAACGAGAGACUCGGUGAAAUUUUAGUACCUGUGAAGAUGCAGGUUACCCGCGACAGGACGGAAAGACCCCAUGGAGCUUUACUGCAGUUUGAUAUUGAGUGUCUGUACCACAUGUACAGGAUAGGUAGGAGUCUAUGAGAUCGGGACGCCAGUUUCGAAGGAGACGUUGUUGGGAUACUACCCUUGUGUUAUGGCCACUCUAACCCGGAUAGGUUAUCCCUAUCGGAGACAGUGUCUGACGGGCAGUUUGACUGGGGCGGUCGCCUCCUAAAAGGUAACGGAGGCGCCCAAAGGUUCCCUCAGAAUGGUUGGAAAUCAUUCGCAGAGUGUAAAGGUAUAAGGGAGCUUGACUGCGAGAGCUACAACUCGAGCAGGGACGAAAGUCGGGCUUAGUGAUCCGGUGGUUCCGCAUGGAAGGGCCAUCGCUCAACGGAUAAAAGCUA
rnacentral:rRNA from 1 species